rnacentral:rRNA from 1 species
GUGUCAGCCGCCGCGGUAAUACGGAGGGUGCGAGCGUUGUUCGGAAUUAUUGGGCGUAAAGCGCGUGUAGGCGGCUCCUUAAGUCUGAUGUGAAAGCCCCGGGCUCAACCUGGGAAGUGCAUUGGAAACUGGGGAACUUGAAUACGGGAGAGGGUAGUGGAAUUCCUGGUGUAGGAGUGAAAUCCGUAGAUAUCAGGAGGAACACCGGUGGCGAAGGCGGCUACCUGGACCGAUAUUGACGCUGAGACGCGAAAGCGUGGGGAGCAAACAGGAUUAGAAACCCCAGUAGUCC